rnacentral:rRNA from 1 species
CCUACGGUAGGCAGCAGUGAGGAAUAUUGGUCAAUGGACGGAAGUCUGAACCAGCCAUGCCGCGUGCAGGAUGACGGCCCUAUGAGUUGUAAACUGCUUUUGUAUUAGGGUAAACACCCCUACGUGUACGUGCUUGAAUGUACAUUACGAAUAAGCAUCGGCUAACUCCGUGCCAGCAGCCGCGGUAAUACGGGGGAUGCAAGCGUUAUCCGGAUUUAUUGGGUUUAAAGGGUGCGUAGGCUGUGAGGUAAGUCAGCGGUGAAAUGCCCCCGCUCAACGGGGUGAAGUGCCAUUGAUACUGCCUGGCUGGAAUGCGGAUGCCGUAGGAGGAAUGUGUGGUGUAGCGGUGAAAUGCAUAGAUAUCACACAGAACACCGAUUGCGAAGGCAUCUCACGAAGCCGCGAUUGACGCUGAUGCACGAAAGCGUGGGUAUCAAACAGGAUUAGAUACCCGUGUAGUC